GCGAGUCGCGAGAAUUAGAUUCUCGGCGUACCGCUCAGUAACACGUGGGUAAUCUGCCCUAUGCUGGAUAAUAACCUCGGGAAACUGAGAAUAAUGAUCCAUAGUUCACUACGCCUGGAACGGUGAGUGGAUGAAAGCUCCGGCGGCAUAGGAUGGGCCUGCGGCGUAUCAGGUUGUAGGGGGUGUAACGUACCCUCUAGCCCUCUACGCGUACGGGUGUUGGGAGACAUAGCCCGGAGAUGGAUUCUGAGACACGAAUCCAGACCCUACGGGGUGCAGCAGGCGCGAAAACUUGGCAAUGCGAGAAAUCGUGACCAGGGAACUCCAAGUGCAUCGGGUAAGACCGGUGCUUUUCUUGACUCUAAAUAGGUCUUGGAAUAAGGGGUGGGUAAGGACGGUGCCAGCCGCCGCGGUAAUACCGGCGCCUCAAGUGGUAGUCGCUUUUAUUGGGCCUAAAACGUCCGUAGCCGGUCUGAUACAUUCGUGGGUAAAUCAACCAGCUCAACUGGUUGAAUUCUGCGAGGACGGUCAGACUUGGGACCGGGAGAGGUGUGGGGUACGCUCAGGGUAGGGGUAAAAUCCUGUCAUCCUGAGCGGACCACCUGUUGCGAAGGCGCCACACCAGAACGGAUCCGACGGUCAGGGACGAAGCCUAGGGGCACGAACCGGAUUAGAUACCCGGGUAGUCCUAGGUGUAAACGCUGUGGACUUGAUGUUGGGGGUGCUCCGAGCACUCUCAGUGU
rnacentral:rRNA from 1 species